CCUACGGGAGGCUGCAGUGAGGAAUAUUUGUCAAUGGACGAGAGUCUGAACCAGCCAAGUAGCGUGAAGGAUGACUGCCCUAUGGGUUGUAAACUUCUUUUAUAUGGGAAUAACAUGUUCCACGUGUGGGAUUUUGUAUGUACCAUAUGAAUAAGGAUCGGCUAACUCCGUGCCAGCAUCCGCGGUAAUACGGAGGAUCCGAGCGUUAUCCGGAUUUAUUGGGUUUAAAGGGAGCGUAGGUGGCUUGUUAAGUCAGUUGUGAAAGUUUGCGGCUCAACCGUAAAAUUGCAGUUGAAACUGGCAGUCUUGAGUACAGUAGAGGUGGGCGGAAUUCGUGGUGGAGCGGGGAAAUGCUUAGAUAUCACGAAGAACUCCGAUUGCGAAGGCAGCUCACUGGACUGCAACUGACACUGAGGCUCGAAAGUGUGGGUAUCAAACAGGAUUAGAUACCCCAGUAGUC
rnacentral:rRNA from 1 species